GGCUAUGGCAUGCCACCCUGAACGUGCCCAAUCUUGUCUGAUCUGGAAGCUAAGCAGGGUCGGGCCUGGUUAGUACUUGGAUGGGAGACCACCUAGGAAUACCAGCUGCUGUAGGCG
rnacentral:rRNA from 1 species